AUUGAACGCUGGCGGAAUGCUUUACACAUGCAAGUCGAACGGCAGCACGGACUUCGGUCUGGUGGCGAGUGGCGAACGGGUGAGUAAUACAUCGGAACGUGCCCAGUCGUGGGGGAUAACGUAGCGAUAGCUACGCUAAUACCGCAUACGAUCUAAGGAUGAAAGCGGGGGAUCGCAAGACCUCGCGCGAUUGGAGCGGCCGAUGGCAGAUUAGGUAGUUGGUGGGGUAAAGGCUCACCAAGCCGACGACCUGUAGCUGGUCUGAGAGGACGACCAGCCACACUGGGACUGAGACACGGCCCAGACUCCUACGGGAGGCAGCAGUGGGGAAUUUUGGACAAUGGGCGCAAGCCUGAUCCAGCCAUUCCGCGUGCAGGAUGAAGGCCCUCGGGUUGUAAACUGCUUUUGUACGGAACGAAAAGGCUCUGGUUAAUACCCGGGGCUCAUGACGGUACCGUAAGAAUAAGCACCGGCUAACUACGUGCCAGCCGCCGCAGUAA
rnacentral:rRNA from 1 species